GCAAUUUUGCGUUCCCCGGUCAGUUUCCGUCUCUCCAUCUUUAUUUCUACGUGUUUAUCUGAUGCUAAAGUGCUUUUCGCAAAAACGUUUCGAUCGACUUUAUGGUAAACAAUUUCGUUUAAAGUUAGUAAUAUGAGUACCCGCGUCUUCGUCGGUGGGCUCACCCACAAAAUCCGUGAACGAGAUCUAGAAAAGUUCUUCAAGAAGUAUGGACGAAUCAAGGAGGUGUCCAUGAAAAACGGUUACGCGUUUGUGGAGUUCGACGACCAUCGGGACGCCGAUGACGCGUGCUAUGAGUUGAACGGCAAAGAUUUGAUGGGCGAAAGAAUUACCGUGGAGAGAGCCCGCGGAACGCCCCGAGGCAGCGACCAAUGGCGAGGAAGAGACGGGGGCGGAAGGGGCUACGGCGGCCCUCCUCGCGGCAGAAACAGUGGCGGCGGCGAUAAUUCCCGGACCCGAGACAAGUACGGCCCACCGACCCGCACCGAGUACAGAGUUAUUAUCGAGAACUUGUCUAGCCGCUGCAGCUGGCAAGACCUCAAAGACAUAAUGCGUAAGGCUGGCGAAGUGACCUUUGCUGAUGCCCACAAGCUGGUCCCCAACGAAGGGGUGGUAGAAUUCGUAUCUUACAGCGAUAUGAAAAAUGCCAUCGAGAAACUGGAUGAUAUUGAGAUAAACGGACGCAGGAUUAGAGUGAUUGAAGACAGACGAGGAGGAAGGAAGAACAACAGAUCUCCGAGCCGCAGCAGAUCCCGUUCACGCCGUCGAUCCAAGUCUCGCAGUGGAAGCCGCUCCAAGUCCCGUUCUAGAUCCAGAUCUAGGUCACAUUCCAAAGAGAACAACAGAAAGAGGUCCAACUCCAGAUCCGAAGAGAGAAACUGAGAGGCAAGCUUGCUUUCAGUUCAGAAGUUUUCGAAAGAAGCUCCCACCACCCACAUAUGGUUAAAAUCCUUGGUUCCACAUUGGCAUUCAAGGUUGUUCCAUUUCACAUUCAAGGCUGGGUUUCGGGGGACCCCAAAUUCCAUUUUCCAGUACGAGUCUGCCAGUAACUGAGACGAAAAGCCAUUACUCUAACUCUACCUUUUGACAGAGGAUUUAAAAUUUUUUUAACGUCACAUCUCCCGGAACUUUGCCUAAUGAUGGAUCCACAAGGUCAGGGGGGCUGGGAGCCAAACCAGUGGGGGGGAAUUAACAGCAAUCCGUUUUCAAUGAGCCGAACCUGCCAAGAUGAACCCAGUUCCAAAAAUAUUCCAAGUAGAUAUCGGGAUUGACAUUUGCUGCUAAUUGACAUUUCCAUAACUGUUCCAUAAGAUGAUUCCAUUUCCAAAUGUAUUCCAAGAUUUUCAGCUCAAGGAGGGUAUGCCGGGAUUCCAUGGCGCUCAGCUGGUGUUCCGUAACAGUUCAUAUUCUUUCCAAACUAAACCUGGGCAGGGAUGAAUUAUGACUUAAGGGGUAAGCAGCAAGCUGAACCUUGUCUUAAACCGCCCAGUAAGUUUCCAUUCGGCCUUUCCAUUUACAAAAAAAAUCACAGGAUUCCAGACACUUGCCGUAAGAACUUUUUGAAGGCCUUCAGUCCAAAGAAAGCAGAAGCAAAACCUUUCCAUCCUUCUUCAAAGAGUCAAGAGUUCAACGGUUCUUUCAGCUAUUCAAGAAUUUGUCUUUAGUGUCUUCUGUUUCCUUCCGACUUCAAUACAUCGGUAGAAACGAACUGAAUUAUGAAAUAAAAAGUGUAAUGUUUCAAACUUCGUUAAAUAAUUGCUAAAUCCAUACAAUUGAUUAUUACAUAGUCGUUUUGUAAGAUGCAAAAAAAGAACAGUAAUGAGAAAAAACUUCCUUCACAAGUAAACCUUAAUCUUUUUUCGAGAAGAAGCAGAAGUGUUGAUUUUUAUAUUGAUUAAUAGUUGUAAUCAUUUGAAACUUAGGUGAGUAUGACAAUCUUGCAAGUAUGCCUUGAAGUUUUGAAGGAAAUGGACAACUGGGGAUCGACAAAGCUGCCAACCAACGAAAGAGGAUAAAUUAUAACAUUAUGAGAAAUAAUAAAUCUGUCGCAAAAUG